UCCACUGCUGGACUUAAGCCUCUCCCAAU
rnacentral:sRNA from 1 species